rnacentral:rRNA from 1 species
GACGGAGGAUGCAAGUGUUAUCCGGAAUUACUGGGCGUAAAGCGUCUGUAGGUGGUUUAGAAAGUCUGUUGUUAAAUCUUGAGGCUUAACCUCAAAACAGCAAUCGAAACUACUAUGACUUGAGUAUAUUAGAGGUAAAGGGAAUUUCCAGUGGAGCGGUGAAAUGCGUAGAUAUUGGAAAGACCACCAAUGGCGAAGGCACUUUACUGGGCUAUUACUGACACUGAGAGACGAAAGCUAGGGGA